rnacentral:rRNA from 1 species
AGAACGAACGCUGGCGGCAGGCUUAACACAUGCAAGUCGAGCGCCCAGCAAUGGGAGCGGCGGACGGGUGAGUAACACGUGGGAACAUGCCCUUUGGUACGGGACAACUCAGGGAAACUUGAGCUAAUACCGUAUGUGCCGGUAACGGGAAAGAUUUAUCGCCAAAGGAAUGGCCCGCGUCCGAUUAGCUAGUUGGUGAGGUAAUGGCUCACCAAGGCACCGAUCGGUAGCUGGUUUGAGAGAACGACCAGCCACACUGGGACUGAGACACGGCCCAGACUCCUACGGGAGGCAGCAGUGGGGAAUCUUGGACAAUGGGGGCAACCCUGAUCCAGCCAUGCCGCGUGAGUGAUGAAGGCCUUCGGGUUGUAAAACUCUUUCGACGGGGACGAUAAUGACGGUACCGUAGAAGAAGCUCCGGCUAACUUCGCGCCAGCAGCCGC